rnacentral:rRNA from 1 species
GACGAACGCUGGCGGCGUGCUUAACACAUGCAAGUCGAACGGAAAGGCCCUGCUUGCAGGGUACUCGAGUGGCGAACGGGUGAGUAACACGUGGGUGAUCUGCCCUGCACUUCGGGAUAAGCCUGGGAAACUGGGUCUAAUACCGGAUAGGAGCCAUUUUUAGUGUGAUGGUUGGAAAGUUUUUUCGGUGUAGGAUGAGCUCGCGGCCUAUCAGCUUGUUGGUGGGGUAAUGGCCUACCAAGGCGGCGACGGGUAGCCGGCCUGAGAGGGUGGACGGCAACAUUGGGACUGAGAUACGGCCCAGACUCCUACGGGGGGCAGCAGUGGGGAAUAUUGCACAAUGGGCGCAAGCCUGAUGCAGCGACGCCGCGUGGGGGAUGACGGCCUUCGGGUUGUAAACUCCUUACGCUAGGGACGAAGCUUUUUGUGACGGUACCUAGAUAAGAAGCACCGGCUAACUACGUG